rnacentral:misc_RNA from 1 species
AGAGCCCCAACCACCACCACCACCUCACCGCAUGCCGCCAAAGCCGUGGGAACAGCAGCUGACGGGGAGCAGCAUGUCGCACCGACGACCUGCACCGGGGGAAGAGGGCAGUACGUUUUCGGACUUUGAGUACCACCAUCAAAGGCGCGGCGGACAUGACGGGGCGGCCGGCGAGCAGCAACGCGGCCCUGCUGCAUCGCCACGGCGGUGGUCCUUCACCCUGCAAGACAUCCCGGGCGCCGUUCAAGGCAUGUUCAACGACGUGAAUAAGGGCUACGUGACCCGCGUGACAGCCGCCGUCGCCACGGCGUUUGGUAUGAGCUACGCGGUGUACACGCUCGUGCUGCAGCCCACGCAACAACGUCGGCCGCUGGCGAAGCGGUGGAGCUGGUGUGCACCGCCGGUGCCGAUCACACUGGUGGAGAAGAACAGGGAGAAGGGCAGCAGCAUGUUCGUGUACCGCUUCGCUUUGCCGAACAGUUACGACUACGCCGGGUAUGAGCCGGUCAGCUCUGUCCGGAUGAUGAGUGGGAACGUGCGCGAGCUCUCCUCGCUCUCCCGGUGGUACACCCCGAUCAGCCACCCCGACGAACGCGGCUUCAUCGAGUUCGCGAUCAAGGACUGUGAUCCCGGCCGCAUGUCUGCUCGCCUGCGCUACCUCGAGCCGGGAGACAUCGUUUAUCUCGGGCGAUGGAUGCGGGAGUUCCCAUACCAGCCGAACACCUUCAAGGAGCUCGGCGUAGUGUGCACCACUUCCGGCGCCUCCGUGGCGCUGCAGCUCAUGAACAUCAUGGACAAGAACAAGGCCGAUGACACCAAGCUCAGCCUCCUCUACUGCCACCACACAGCCACCGACAUUCCGUUCAAGGAUACCUUCUUCAAGGCGUAUGCAGAGCGCAACAAGAACCGUAUUCAGGUCUCGUACAACGUGUUGGCCGGUGGACGGCGAAGGGGGAGCGCCGCGCCGAUCGAGCCGAACAUGUACGUUGGUAACAUCGACCCUGAAACAAUUGCGGCAGCGCUGCCGCCGCCGGUGCGCAUUGUGGAGGCCGGCGCCGGCGUCGGCAGUGGCACCGCGUCGCAGCUCGCGACGUACCGCCCUCAGCUGCUCAUCUGUGGGCCGCAGUCGAUGCUGGCAUUUCUGUGUGGUCGCGUCAGCUCCUUCGGAAACUACGGCUACUGGCAGGGGCCCUUCUAUCGCUACUCUGGCUUCCUCAAAGACAUGGGCUACACCCGCUCUCAAGUUUACAAGUUCGGCGUUUCGACACACUUCCUCGCAGAUCAUUGACGGGGUGUACACGUGUGCGCGAUGGUCGUCAUGGCAAGGGCAAGCAAGACAAUGUUGACGGCACAUCAUCAGGAAGGAGACGCGGGCGAGUUACAGCUCAGCUCUUUCUCUCUGGCAGAUGCAGCGGCGGCAUCGCUGGUGGUCGGUUGGUCGGCUGGCUCGAUCUGAGAAGGCUUUGCUCGUGGGGGUGAUGGUGGUGGUGGUGCUGGCCGCUCACCAUCAGUGCGAUGGUUCAGUUUGCCUGAACUGCUCUGCGCGUCGGCGUCUGUGUGGUGCAGACCAAAGGAGCGAGAAGAGGCGAAGAGGCCGAGCACGGAGGUUAUAAGAUGAAAAGGCGUCAGCGAAGUCGCCCGACCCCUCUGGCGUCGACCCAUGAGUGUAGGUGUGUGAUGGUCUUCACUGGAAGGUCAGAUGGCCAUGAAACCCCGGAGUACAGCGAAGCGCGCGGCGCCGUCAGGCCUGCAGACAGCACACGAAGAUCCUCACAAGCACGGAUGCACACACGCACACAGCCGCACGUCAGCUCUUUCAUCUUUGGGCGAUGCGUCAGUGUGCACCAUGCAUCAGCGGAAGGAGCGCUCGCGCACUCAUGUGCGUGCGCAGCUGUGCGUCGACGGUGCAUCAGCCUUCUUUGAUGCCUUGCAUCGAAGCGAAGGUCUAUACUUCGCUGGUAUGCGCCUCCUUUCUCGCUCGCCUCGGCCUCGUUGACCGUCGCGACCACCUUUCCGGCGCCCACCUGCCAGACGGCUCUCUUCGGCGCGUGCGUGCAGGAGCCAGCGCCGGGGCACAGAGCCGCACAGGGGCGAACCAAAAUGGCGGCAUACGCGCGUGCACGCAGGCACAUGCAGGCACACGAACACGACGGUGAGGGCGUGCCUCGGGCGCUGGCUGCUGGCGGCUUGCCCCUGCUUGCUUUCUCUUCCCCCUCGCGCCAGCGACUGCACGUGCAGCAGCCACUGCAGAGGAAGUUGGGCACGCGCAAGUCCAUCAUUGUACCAGACAUUCCACAGAUGCCACUCCAUGCCGAUCUCUCUCUCUUGCGCGAUAGGAACUCUGCCGGGCAGGAGUAUUCCGUACGCGGCUGGUGGUCUUGAUGGUGCAGAUCGUGGCGCCGCUUCCGCUGAGUUCCAAUGGGCCGAUUGCAGAUGGUUCAAUCAUCAUGAUGCUGCAGGAGGGUGUGCGGGUGUCGGAGGAGUGCGCCUGCACCCGCUGCCGGAAGACGAAGCGAAUGCGGGCAUGGGUCUCGCUGAGCACUCGGACUUUGUCCAAAUCCUCAGAAUCAACUCUUGUUGCCCAGGCUGGUGCAUGAUCCAGACCCUCGUUGUCGUCUUCUCGACAAUCUACGGCGUCGCAUUCAACGGGUGCAACAUGGCCCCACCAGAGACCCGCGACACUGCGCUGGCCUUGAAGAGGGCCUUCGACAGCCUCCUCACUCAGGCGCGGCUCUCGCGCGGGCUCACCCUCUGCAGCGCAAGCUCCCGGUACGAGCGGACGAUGGGCUUCGUGGCCCUGAUGUGUUUAACCGCGAGCAGGAGCAUGAGAGGGUGAGAUGGUGCGAAGCGAGCACGCACCCGCAGAGCAUCGGGAAAUCCGGGUGCCACGACGGGCACGCGGUAGGGAAAUGGCCCCGCCGACCGUGUAGGGGCGCCGCUCAUGGGAAGCGCCUUUUCUUUCUUGUCUACUGGAGCUGUGGCUCACUUUCAUGCGGAUGGCGCCUCUACCAUCGCUGCUGUCCGCAAGGGCUACACGCACAUUCAUGUAGUCAACGGGGAACUCCAUCGCUGCAUGCCUCCCCUGCCGUGUGUAAUCUACGGCUCGUUACACACAAUGCGGCGAAAACUCCGCCGACGGACCGAGCCGCGACCCCGUUUACCAAGCGUGGCAGUGCACAACUGGCGAGACGGUGAGGUGCGACAGUAAGCUGCAAAGGCAGGCAUAUGCGUGCAUGUAUCUUCUUACGUGAAAAGACGCACUCUAUGCGUGCCUUUGUGGCGCUCGGUGUGUGAGCGGCACGACCGCACCCACCGCCACCGCCGAAGUCGGGUCGACUGAAGCGAAUAUGCCGACACGCCCAUUGACCUCCGUGUAACGUUCCCUCGGCCCCCCCGCCCUCCACCACCACCACCUCUCUCCCUCUCUGCUGGCGCCGAAAAG